AAUGAUCAAAAUGCCAAAUCAAAAAAAGGAAGACAUCUUUUCUCUGCCCCAAUGGAGUGUAAAACCAGUAAAAUUUCUUGAGUAACACUUAAAACAACCAGCUAAAAAAAUGUUUCAGCCAUCGAUGGCAGCAAAAUCUAACACUGUAGUCUCAUCUUUCCUCCCAGCAAAAAAGGCAGCAUUCUCCUUCAUCGUUACAUGAUCUAUCUUAAGAAUAUGAACACCGAUAUAUGCAGACUUGCUUACAUUCUCCACCCUAAUCCAUUGAGAGCAAGGAAGACAUCUUUUCAUUGGAAUCUGCAUUAAAGAAAAAUAAGUGUCUAGUCAGUAAAGGAAGAAGAAGUGAAAUCAAAGUGGACGUGUAAUGGUUGUUGUGAUCAAACAACUUGUAUGCCUCUGAUGGGUGCCACAGGUUUUGGCAGCCUGAAAAUUGAAUAUCUUCUUCUUUGUGGCAGUUCAACUCGUAAUGGGCUGAAAUCCAGAAUGGUGGUCAAAGAAACAACAACAAUGCCAAUGCACAAAUCAAUCUAAGAAAUCUCUGAAAAGGGAGAAAAGUCGAGCGCAGUAAAGCCCAAAAGAGCAAGGAGGUCAGAGCAACAGAUAUAACAGAGGCAAAAAAAUACAAGACAUAGAAGGGGAGGGGGGCUGUAAUGAGCUUAAAACAAAUUCUCACCGAUUUAGGAAGGAGGAAAAAAGAGAGGGAGGAAUAAGGAUUACAUUCGGGGGAGAGAAAAUAGCGGAUUUUUAUGAUCAUCAUGAUUUCAACAGACAUCAUGCAGGCAAAAAUGAAAAUCAAUGGAGGUUUUUUUCUUUCUUUUUAUCCCUCUGACCGAUAUUUAAUCAAGUUCAAACAUACAUCAUCUAACCUAGAAUCAAUAUCAACGGGAGAAUCGUCAUUGUCCCCAAGAAAAUGCAUCAAGAUCAAUAUAUUCAUUUGUUUUUUGAAAGAUCAG
rnacentral:lncRNA from 1 species